rnacentral:rRNA from 1 species
UACGUAGGUGGCAAGCGUUGUCCGGAUUUACUGGGUGUAAAGGGCGUGCAGCCGGGCUGACAAGUCAGAUGUGAAAUCCCGCGGCUCAACCGCGGAACUGCAUUUGAAACUGUCAGUCUUGAGUACCGGAGAGGUCAUCGGAAUUCCUUGUGUAGCGGUGAAAUGCGUAGAUAUAAGGAAGAACACCAGUGGCGAAAGCGGCUCUCUGGUCUGUAACUGACGCUGAGGUUCGAAAGCGUGGGUAGCAAACAGG